ACUUGUCGUUCGCCGUGUGUGUGUGUCAUCGUCCUGUUUUUCUGAUAUUUUCUGCAAACAUUGGACUGACAUAAUGUCUUGCUGUGCUGUUGAUUGUACUAACAGACCGUCCAAGAAUUCUGUGUUCCAGUUUUUUCGUUUUCCUCUAGGUGAUCCAGAGAGGCUGGACCAGUGGGUGCGCAACAUUGGAAGACAGAACUGGACUCCGAACAAGGCUUCUCGUCUGUGCAGUGACCACUUUGAGAGACAUCACCUCAGCACUGACUCCAGGGACGCUUGAGGAUACGCCUACAACACAUAGGCCAUAGUGUGAUGUGUUCUCCAUUGUUAAGAUGUUGAAGGCAUCAGUACAUCAACAAAUUAUGUUUUUACCAAAUUAUGACACUGGGGUUGUUAUCCAAGUUAUAUCCUCAGAAUUAUAAUUACAACUAUUGCACAUAUAAGUGUACUUGAACCAUAAAAACCCAACUUGUAAAUGUGUAACCCUUAAAAUGUAUUUUCAAGAAUGCAAGACUUAAAAUUGUUAAACUGUUACUUGUGUACUGGGUGUGAUUCUUUUGUCAUAUAUAAUAUAAAAAAGGCACCUUCUUCAAA